rnacentral:rRNA from 1 species
CAGCCUGCGCGUGCUAUACAUGCAGUUGAGCGCUGAAGGUUGGUACUUGUACCAACUGGAUGAGCAGCGAACGGGUGAGUAACGCGUGGGGAAUCUGCCUUUGAGCGGGGGACAACAUUUGGAAACGAAUGCUAAUACCGCAUAAAAACUUUAAACACAAGUUUUAAGUUUGAAAGAUGCAAUUGCAUCACUCAAAGAUGAUCCCGCGUUGUAUUAGCUAGUUGGUGAGGUAAAGGCUCACCAAGGCGAUGAUACAUAGCCGACCUGAGAGGGUGAUCGGCCACAUUGGGACUGAGACACGGCCCAAACUCCUACGGGAGGCAGCAGUAGGGAAUCUUCGGCAAUGGACGAAAGUCUGACCGAGCAACGCCGCGUGAGUGAAGAAGGUUUUCGGAUCGUAAAACUCUGUUGGUAGAGAAGAACGUUGGUGAGAGUGGAAAGCUCAUCAAGUGACGGUAACUACCCAGAAAGGGACGGCUAACUACGUGCCAGCAGCCGCGGUAAUACGUAGGUCCCGAGCGUUGUCCGGAUUUAUUGGGCGUAAAGCGAGCGCAGGUGGUUUAUUAAGUCUGGUGUAAAAGGCAGUGGCUCAACCAUUGUAUGCAUUGGAAACUGGUAGACUUGAGUGCAGGAGAGGAGAGUGGAAUUCCAUGUGUAGCGGUGAAAUGCGUAGAUAUAUGGAGGAACACCGGUGGCGAAAGCGGCUCUCUGGCCUGUAACUGACACUGAGGCUCGAAAGCGUGGGGAGCAAACAGGAUUAGAUACCCUGGUAGUCCACGCCGUAAACGAUGAGUGCUAGA